ensembl:lncRNA
GACAAACACAGAGAAGCUCUUGCUGAGACGAGCUGUUAAAGAUGAUGUUUAUUAAAGAGGAGCGUGUAGACUUCAGGAUUGAAGAAGUGUUCAGUCUGAAAGAUGAAAACACGGAGGAACAAACAGCUGUGUGCAGGAAUCCUUCAAAGCUUGUCCACUGCUUGAUUUGUCAUGAGCCCCAGACCAGAAUUGAACACCAUCUAAGCAAUAUGUGCUUACGAGAUGCGGAGGAUGGCUGUAUCCAGCAAGAAGUCUUGAGUGCAAAGGAGUCACAAGAGAAGUGGAAAAGAGAGGGGAGGAUUAUGAAUCUUUCUGAGGUCAAGAAAUUGGUCAGGGAAGACCCAUCUUGUGACUCCUUGGCAGAGUACUUCCGGUCAAAGGGAUUCCUCAUCAAAGAAGAGCGUGACAGCACUGCAAGCCAGGAGUCCGAAUUGCUUGCUCUCAUUGAGGAGGACAUGGGUGAGGUGUCCAAACGCCUCAGCCAACAUAAACGGGUCCCUGCAAAGACCAAGACGGUCUUUCGUAGCUUCUGUCUCGCCACAGUGAUGUGGGUCCAUCACCUGGGUCCUACGAGCAUUAAAGAGUUCAAGGUCCAGGAAUGGAACGACAGGGUGAUGGAGGGAGAUGGAGUCGUUGUAAAGCUGUCCAAAGGAAGCAUAAAGUUGAACAAAAAAGAAGAACACUGGUUGGACUGCUACUUCAAGCACAUCCGGCCUGAAUAUUUAAAUGCUCAACCUCUGAAGGGAGACGACAGGGACCGGUUCUUCCUGGGAGCUUCGGGACUUCCUCUUUCUAACCCAACGGCUGAUGUGCACCGACUACGAGAAAAGUACGUCAAGAGGCUGCAGGAGCGACCUACGCCAGCACCAGAGCCGCAGGCAGGAGCGGUGGUCAGUCCACCCCGGUCAGCUGCUGAGGAGGAGCCACCACAGAUGCUGGAGAGGACAUCUCCACCUACCCCAGUGAUGCAGCUCCCAGCUCUGAGGUUUUGGGGAGCGUUUGAAGACCUGUUUCCCAUUACUCUUCAUGGGAAGCCUCCGACAAAGGUGCAGGCAGCAGAGGCAGGAUUUGAGGACCGCAGCUACUACCACUACUGGAGGAGGCUUCAGUACAAGCUGCGUAUACAGUAUAUUCUUGAGCAAUCCACUGACAGGACUGGCCAAAAACCCCUGGCAUCUCGUGUCCGGCGUGCCAUUGCCAAGGAGACCAGGUGGACCACCAAUGUGCCCUCCGUGGACAGUGUUCUGCUGAGGUAGUCUCCAAGCAGGAAGGGGAGCGGAGGCUGGAGACGCUCUCUGGGGAGCCGUCAUACCGUUUCUUCUUCAAGGGCAAGGGUGGCGAUCCUCCCUGCAUCCAUGCACAGAAAUUCUCCUGUGACUGCCACACAGACAAAGAAACUUUUGGGAGGAGGAUGAGUCAUUCCCGAAGGAGAAAUAAUGUGCGGCAUCAGAUAGUUUCCUUAAACUGUCCAGACGGACCCAGGGAAUGUGUUCCGUUCUUAAGCUGGGGAACAAUAGUCUGUUAAGGAGGGGGGAGAAAUGGAAGGGAGGAAAGAAGAGAAAAAGAAGGAAAAAAAGAGAGAAAAAAUGAGGAGAAAAGAGAAGAAAGGGACUUUUAUGCCCCUACCCUCCUAAGUAAUGUUUUAGGAAGUGUAUGUUUGCAAUAAAUUAUUUUUAAAACAUUUUUUUUUCUAUUUU